CGGUGGCAGGUGUCAUGAGGACAUAGGGCCACCCAGGACAGGACUCCGAAAGGGAGUGGUUGCCGGGGAUAUGAUGAGAGAGUCACGGGUUAGGCAAGUUGCGUUGGAGCAAUGCUGGUCCACCCGAAUGGGAUCACGAGGUCAGUGCUCCAGAGUGUGGGUAAAGUGCGCAACCUCUGCAGAGUGUCAAAACUAUUCGAAUAGUCGUGUCCACAGUAAUGGACAGCCCGACCAGACCUCAGUAGAUGGUCAACCGUGUGGAUGUUAGUAAUGAUGGAAGAACUCUCCAGUUGAAUGGAGAUGCUUGAUAAGCACUCCGGGGGUUGUGAGACAACCCCGGACAUGAGUAAGUGGAUGUUAUAAAGCUAAGUGGUAUUAUUCCUAAUUUGUUGCCAUGCUACUGUUUGCUGCAUUGCUUGGUUAUUAUGAGCUUGCGAGUACAUUCCAAGUACUCACCUGGCGUAUCAUGCCAGAUGCAGGAGAAGACGAGGACGGAGGUCCUGAUGAUGCGUACUAGGAAGUGUCCACAGUAGUGUCCCUGUGUAUGGAGUUGCCGCUAUUUUCCGCUACGCCGUAGAAGUACUUAGUAGUUUCGAGGCCCCGCUAUGUCUCAUAAAUAAUGUAGAUACUGUGCUGCACCAUGGGUGUAUUUGGCCUCGCUAUCAUUGUAAGAUAUGUAUCUGUAACCUUAUGCUAACUAUAAAGUCAGUUUAGUUAUGUGCCAAGUUGUUGAGUGUUUCCAGAAGACAUGAUCUCUGGGUUGGAAACACUCGUAAUCUGAUUCGUUGAAUCGGGGUGCCACAGCGCUUGGUAUCAGAGCCACGCUCACUGUAGGACACCCUAGUAACCGUGUUAGCACAACGAGUAGUACAGGGUCGUGAGUAUGCAUUUGCUUAUUGCAUUUGGAUGUUGCACUUGAUUGUUGCAUGGCAUGCAUCAUGACUCAUUGUUUUACUAACCUUUGGCUUUGUGAGUGUAGAUGGCACCGGUUCCGUAUCAUUUCCCGUAUGAGCCUGCACCAUCCUCCUUCCCAUCACUGCUGCAGAACGUCUGGUUUCGACUGUACCCACAUGGCGAGGAACCAGUGUACCAGGUGUUUCGAGAGCAGCUUGUCGAGUCUGUGUACGAGUUCCAUGCUUAGGCUUACCUGGUUGUCAGCUCGGAUAUUGGUAGCUAUUCUUGCUCUACUAAGGGCGGAACGGCUUCUACUCCAGAGAUGGCAAUCCAGUUUGCUGCGAUGGAGGCUCUCAUCGACUUGCGCUACCACGAGGUGGAGAUGCAGACUCAUCCAGGUUUCUUCCACUACCCCACCUUGUCGCCUUCAACAGGGCGAGUCAUUUUUGCUCCCGUAGACCCGGCAUGUGACCGUGCGACUGCUGUGCUGUCUCGCUAUGUGAGCGCCAGCUAUUGUAUGAUCGUGUCCCUAGCAGAGGAGUUAUCCUAUCUUCGGGCGGCACUUGUCAUUGCAACUGUAGUGCCACCCCCACCCCAGUCUUCUGUUCCACCCUCAGAUGCACCAACAGUUCCACCACCACCUAGAUUUGAGAUCCCAGUUACUUCUUCAGCACCGCCAGGCACUUCGUCUGGCAGUCGCCGUUAGACUCAUUCUGAGUAGGCCUCGCUCCUUGCCACUCCUGCUGCCCCGAUGUUGAGGCGUCGUGCUCCUUCGGAAGCACGACCGUCUCGUUGGCGUCACCGCGUAGCCUUUGCUCCGGAGAUUGAGGUCAACAUCAUCAGCUCAGACUCUGACUCUGGAUCAGACGAUGAAGAGUCAGAGGUCUUCCAGUGUUCGUGCCAUCCGCGCCACUAGAGCCGAGGUUGGAGUUGUUGAUCAUGCAUUUUUGCAUAUGUCAAUUGCCGUGUGAGCAGUCUAGUCAUGAUAUGUUCCCCUAAUAGCUUGCCAAGAGUGAUGUUAAUUUGCGUUGUAUAAUUAUGCUCUUUUCUUAUUCGCCUUUCCAUGAGAAUUUCUUUGGUGUUUUAUGACCAUGCUUUUCCCUUAUGGAUGUUGCUCAUUGAUUCGGUACUUUGCAAUGGGAACAAUAAUUUAGGAUGAAAGGGAGUUGUAGCCAAGGCAAGGAUGGAACCCCCAUCCAUCGGUCCGCCAGGCACGUAGGUCAACCACCAGAAGACCUACCACCUCCACCACCCCAGGUACCAAAUACUGAGCAGAUCAUGAGAAUGUUUGAGUAAAAGAGGAAUCAGGAUCUCAUGGAAUUCCUGAGAAGCGUGCAAGCUAUGGUAGGCCAGAAUAACCACAACGGGGCACGAUCCAGGUUGUCAGAUUUUCAGCGUACUAAGCCUCCCAAUUUUGGCCAAGCUGCGGAUCCGAUUGAAGCCGACGACUGGAUAAGGACUAUGGAGAAGAAGCUAGACAUAGCCCGUUGUGAGGAAGCGGACAAGGUUCCCUUUGCCACUCACUACCUAGAAGGGCCAGCAGCUAUAUGGUGGGAUAAUACUAAGGUAACAUGGCCCUGUGGAGAAGAGAUUACAUGGGAAAGAUUCAAGGAAGCAUUCCACAAAUAUCAUAUUCCUACGGGUAUUAUGAAGGUGAAGCAAAGAGAAUUCCUUGCUCUUACACAAAGAAACAUGACGGUAGCCGAGUAUCUGAACAAGUUUAACAAUCUGGCACGAUACUCAACCCAUGAUGUAUCCACUGAGGAAAGGAAGGUUGAUCACUUCCUAGGCGGUCUAAACCAUGCCCUCCGUUGUCAGCUUUGUAUGCUGGAUUUUCCAGACUUCCAGACGCUGGUAAACAAAGCCUUCAUAGCCAAACGAGAGCUUAAGACUGGAUAAGAUGACCGCAAGAGGAAGUUUGAACCCAAGAAGGAUAGCAAGGAGUAGAUUGCACAAAAGCCACGUACCUGGCAACCAAACACCACUGUCUACAAGCCCACUUGGAACAAAAGUAACAACACUAACAAGACAGUGAGCCAGAACAAGGCCUUCGGCAAACAGCCAGUGCUAGAGGAUUGCCGCCGCAACAACACCUGUUUCACUUGCGGCCAGAGUGGAUACUAUGCAAAGCAGUGCCCCACCAAUAGCGGAAAACCAUCCUCCGACAUCAAACCGCAGAUCAACACUAUUGGACGCCGCCCUAACUCUAAGUUUACCCAAGGACGCGUCUACCAUAUCUCUGCCGAAGAAGCAUGCGAAGCUCCAGAAGUCGUUGUCGGUAUGUUCUCUGUUAACAACAUACCAGCAAUAGUUUUAUUUGAUUCCGGGGCUUCCCACUCAUUUAUUUCGAGGAUUUUUGCCGCCAUACACCAAUUUUCCCCUUCGUUGUUGAAUAAAAUCAUGGUGGUACAAUCCCCUGGCUCUAUGCUCAGAACAAAUCUCAUAUACCGGGAUUUGGAAAUACGGAUACUAGGAGCUACCUUUCCAGCUGCACUAAUUGCCAUCGAAUCCUUGGGAUUAUUGUAAUACUGGGGAUGGAUUGGUUGACACCCCAUCAAGUGUGCAUCAAUUGUGCCACUAGGACUGUGACGCAGGUUAAUCUGGCCGGUAAAACCGUCCAGUUUAUUGCCAACAACAUGAAGACAAGGAACGGAAUGGCAUACCAAGCAGAUGUCAUGGAUAUGAACUUGAUUCCAGUGGUAUGUGAAUUUCCAUAUGUGUUCUCCAAGGAAUUGCCAGGNNNNNNNNNNNNNNNNNNNNNNNNNNNNNNNNNNNNNNNNNNNNNNNNNNNNNNNNNNNNNNNNNNNNNNNNNNNNNNNNNNNNNNNNNNNNNNNNNNNNNNNNNNNNNNNNNNNNNNNNNNNNNNNNNNNNNNNNNNNNNNNNNNNNNNNNNNNNNNNNNNNNNNNNNNNNCUAACCGGGAGUUGGAAUUCGCAAUCGAAUUAGUUCCCGGUACUGCCCCAAUCUACAAGAAAUACUAUUGUAUGCCAGGACCGGAAUUGGCAGAGCUAAAGAAAUAGUUGGACGAAUUAGUGCAAAAGGGAUACAUCCGCCCAAGUACCUUACCAUGGGGAUCACCAGUACUGUUCGUCAGAAAGAAGGAUGGAAGUCUGCGAAUGUGCAUAGACUAUCGUCAGCUAAAUGAGGUCACUAUUAAAAACAAGUACCCACUACCACGCAUCGAUGACCUAUUCGACCAGUUGAGUGGAGCACUAGUGUUCUCCAAAAUUGACCUCAGCACUGGAUAUCAUCAGCUUAAAAUCAGAAAGGAAGAUAUACCCAAGACAACGUUCACUACCCGAUAUGGCCUGUAUGAGUUCACGGUCAUGUCAUUUGGUCUGACAAAUGCUCCAUCCUAUUUCAUGAGCAUGAUGAAAAAGGUCUUCAUGGAUUUCUUAAAUAAAUUCGUGGUAGUGUUCAUUGAUGACANNNNNNNNNNNNNNNNNNNNNNNNNNNNNNNNNNNNNNNNNNNNNNNNNNNNNNNNNNNNNNNNNNNNNNNNNNNNNNNNNNNNNNNNNNNNNNNNNNNNNNNNNNNNNNNNNNNNNNNNNNNNNNNNNNNNNNNNNNNNNNNNNNNNGUGUUCAUUGAUGACAUUCUGAUAUAUUCUAAAGACGACGAGGAUCACAAGCGUCACCUCCGUGCUAUCUUGGAAAGACUGAGAUCCCAUCAACUGUAUGCUAAGUUCAGUAAAUGCGAGUUCUGGAUGAAGGAAGUGGGAUUUUUGGGACACAUCCUGUCAGAACAAGGUGUGGCUGUCGACCCCAGUAAGGUAACAUCAGUGCUAAAUUGGAAAACACCAGUCUCGGUGACCGAAGUUCGUAGCUUCCUGGGAUUGGCAGGCUAUUACCAACGAUUCAUAGAAGGCUUUUCCAAGAUAGCCAAACCAUUGAUGGAAUUGCUCAAGAAAGAUCAGAGAUUCGUAUGGAUGACAACAUGCGAAAGCAGUUUCCUGGAAUUAAAAACAAGACUAACGACCGCACCUGUUUUAAUCCUCCCGGACAUUAACAAGAGUUUUGACAUUUAUUGUGACGCUUCCUGAAGAGGAAUUGGUUGUGUGCUGAUGCAAGAAGGGAAGGUUGUAGCAUACGCAUCCCGACAGCUACGACCGCAUGAAGAGAACUACCCCACUCAUGACUUGGAGCUAGCAGCCGUGGUUCAUGCCUUGAAAAUUUGGAGGCAUUCCCUCAUUGGACAACGGUGUGAGAUAUAUAUGGACCACAAAAUUCUUCAGUAUAUUUUCACCCAGCCAGAUCUGAAUCUCAGGCAACGACAAUGGCUUGAACUAGUCAAGGACUAUGACCUUGGGAUCAACUAUCAUCCGGGGAAAGCCAAUGUGGUUGCAGACGCUCUUAGUCGAAAGCCAAUCACAGUGAAUGCAUUAGUGGACAAUAUGCAUCCGAGACUACAAGAAGAGUUCAUUAGUCUCAACAUGAUACUAUGCGGUCCAAUUACCCCAGAGAUCCUGAAAAUUACCCCCACCCUCAUAGACGAAAUCAAGAAAGCUCAAGAAUCAGAUGAAGGAAUCAAGAAGAUCAAAGGGUCACUGCCAAAAGGGAAGGACAAAUCCUUCCGAGUAGAUGACCAAGGCAUACUAUGGUUCAAAAAACGGAUAUGCGUCCCCGACCAAAACAUCCUGAGACGGCAAAUACUCGGAGAAGCGCAUGAUUCCGCAUAUUCUAUUCAUCCAGGAGGUACGAAGAUGUACCAAGAUCUGAGAAAGACAUUUUGGUGGUCAGGGAUGCGAAAGGAUAUAGCAUAUUGUGUUGCCUGUUGUGACAUAUGCAACAAGGUUAAGGCGGAACACCAAAAGCCCGCGGGGUUACUACAGCCUUUAUCGGUUCCUCAAUGGAAGUGGGACGACAUAUGCAUGGACUUCAUAGUCAGACUACCCAAGUCAACGAGAGGCAAUGAUGCCAUCUGGGUCAUUGUGGAUAUGCUCACGAAAGUAGCUCACUUUAUCCCGGUAAAGACUACUUUCAACGCCAACCAACUGGCAUAGCUAUACGUGUCCCGAAUAGUAAGCCUACAUGGGGUACCCAAGUCAAUCACCUCAGAUAGAGGCUCUCUAUUCACUUUCGCAUUUUGGCUACGACUUCACCAGGCCUUGGGAACCAUGCUAAAACACAGUACCGCAUACCACCCUCAAACGGAUGGACAAACAGAAAGAGUGAAUCAAAUACUAGAGGACAUUCUUCGGUCAUGUGCCCUCACCCAUGGGCCCAAAUGGGAAGAUAGCCUACCCUAUGCAGAAUUUUCCUACAACAUCAGCUAUCAGGAAAGCCUGAAGAUGUCACCCUUUGAAUCAUUGUAUGGCAGAAAGUGCCGAACCCCGUUGAAUUGGUCACAAACAGGAGACAGUUGCAUAUUUGGGACCGACUUGAUGCUGGAGGCCGAGAAACAUGUCAAGGAUAUUCAGGAACGCCUUCAGGCAGCCAAGUCCCGCCAGAAAAGCUACUAUGAUCCAAAGCACCGAGAAGUGACCUUUGAACCAGGAGAAUAUGUCUAUCUCCGACUAACCCCCAUGAAAGGAGUGAGAAGGUUUCGCACAUGGGGAAAGCUCACACCGAGAUAUAUCGGUCCCUUUCUAGUGAUUGCAAGAAGAGGCAGAGUCGCCUAUCAGUUAGAGCUACCACCCAAAUUGUCAGAUGUGCACGAUGUCUUUCAUAUCUCACAGCUAAGAAAGUGUAUUGCACCUCCAAUUAAGCAGGCAGAUAUGAGUGAGCUAGAAUUGGCUAAGGAUCUGACCUAUGAGGAGAAACCCGUCAGAAUCUUGGAUGAGAUGGAAAGAACUACCGGGAGUAAGGUGCUUAAGUUUUAUAAGGUAUUAUGGGAACACCAUACUGAGGAAGAAGCUACGUGGGAGAUAGAAGAUUUCUUGAGAUCCGCAUAUCCAUACUUGUUCCCUAAGCAACCGAAUCUCAAGGACGAGAUUCAUCCUAAGGGGGGUAGGUUUGUAACACCCUGAUUUUUCAAACCUUUUCUUUUUAAAAUAUUUUUGAAGAUCACUUGCAAUUUGGUUGAUUUUCAAAUUCUCAAAGCAAGUUGGAUUAUGAAAUCUCUGAUUUCUUGUCUCAAACAGCCCAAAACCAUUUGCUUCUUACUAAAACCUUUCUGAGAUUUAUUUGCAAUAUUUUAUUCUAUUAAAUAAUUCUCUUUUUCUAUUUUGGGAAUUAUGCCAUCACUAUGGGUUGUGAAGCAACCUAUAGCUUGGAUGAGCUUUAAGACCCAAAACAUUUGCAACAUCUUCUCAAUGCCAUAUGAUUUCAAAAUAUGAAAAAAUAUCUCUUUGUCCAAUCGAUAAUUAUGGCCAGAAUAAUUAUUUAUUUUCUGACCACAAUUAUCCCUUUGUGAAGCAACCCUAUGGUUCCUGUUUUGAAAAAUUCCCAAUUAAUUCUUGUAGUUACUAGGGAUCAUAUAUGGUUCCAAUAUGUAAAAACAUCCCAUGGUCCAAUACAAAUUUUGAGCAAAAACACUAUGCUAAGUUUCUGCUAAAAUAGGACCUUUGUGAAGGAAGUCCUAGCUAGGAGUGCACAAUGGAGCUACAAAUUUUUGUGCAUGUGUGUACUACCAAAUGACACUUCCCCACCAAAAGACACUAGUAGCAAAGCUUGCAAUUGAGUGCUAGAAGCUCAUUUGUGUUCUGGACCAGAAAGAUGGUUUUCAAAGGAACUAUAUUCAUUUGAUCUUCUAACCUUGCCAAUUUUUGCCAGUUUAGAGUCUUUUCUAUGCUGAUUCUACUAGACAUCUUAUCUUUCUCUAAUCCCAACCCUGUUGAUCUCCAGAACCUCCCAAAGUCUGCUGACAGAACCUGUUGAUGAUGUUCCUAGUCGCAGCAGAGCUUGUAUAUUCAAGCAAGCAGUGGAUGGUGACUGAUGGAAGGCUGGUCGACGCAAUAGACAAGGUUUCCAGGCUGGCGUGGCAUCAGGGUGGCCGCAACCGUGGUGAUCACGGUGCUGGCAUGUGAUACGUCUCCGUCGUAUCUACUUUUCCGAACUCUUUUGUCCUUGUUUUGGACGCUAAUUUGCAUGAUUUGAAUGGAACUAACCCGGACUGACGCUGUUUUCAGCAGAAUUGCCAUGGUUUUGUUUUUGCGCAGAAAUAAAAGUUUUCGGAAUGACCUGGAAUAUGAAACUAACCCGGACUGACGCUGUUUUCAGCAGAAUUGCCAUGGUAUCUAUUUGUGCAUGUGUGUACUACCAAAUUUUUUUGAAAUAUGAAUAUAUUUCAAAUUCAUGAAAAAAAACUAAAAUUAUGAAAAUAUUUCAUAUUGUGAACAAUUUUUGAAACCAUAAACACUUUUUAAACACGAACAUUUUUUCCAAACGGAGAACAAAUUUGAAAGCGCGAACAAAUUUUUAAAGCAAAAAUAAUAAUUUGAAUAUUGAGAACAUGUUUCGAAAUCGAGAACAAUUUUGAAAACUCGCGAACAAAUUUGAAACAACAACAACAACAACCAAGCCUUUCAGUCCCAAACAAGUUGGGGUGGGCUAGAGUUAAAACCCAUAAGAUCUCGAAGCCAAGUCAUGGCUCUGGAACGUGGAUAGCUAACUUCCACGCACCCCUUUCCAUGGCUAAGUUUUUGUCGAUAUUUCAAACCUUCAGGUCUCUCUUAACGGACUCCUCCCAUGUCAAGUUUGGUAUACCACGACCCCUCUUAACAUUCUCAGCACGCUUUAUCCGUCCGCUAUGCACCGGCGCUUUCGGUGGCCUCCGUUGAAUAUGUCCAAACCAUCUGAGACGAUGAUGGACCAGCUUCUGUUCAAUCGGUGCUACCCCAAGCCUCCCUCGUAUAUCGUCAUUCCGUACCCGAUCCUUCCUUGUGUGGCCACAUAUCCAUCUCAACAUGCGCAUCUCUGCUACACCUAACUGUUGGAUAUGUCGUCUCUUGGUUGGCCAACACUUCGUGCCGUACAACAUCGCAGGUCGGAUAGCUGUCCUAUAAAACCUGCCUUUUAGCCUUUGUGGCACUCUCUUGUCACAGAGUACGCCAGAAGCUUGUCGCCACUUCAUCCACCCAGCCUUGAUUCGGUGGCCCACGUCUUCAUCGAUAUCGCCAUCCUUCUGCAACAUGGACCUCAAAUAUCGAAACGUGUCUCUGAAACAUGGUUGUAUACUUUUUAAACAUGAACAUUUGGCGCCACUUCGUCCGUCCGCUAUGCAACGCGAACAAAUUUGAAAGCUCUAAUAAUUUUUAAAAGUAUGAACAUUUUUUCAAUCUCGAGAACAAAAUUUUGAAAAUGUGAUUUUUUGGUAAACCGCAAACAAAUUUGAAAUGCGCGACCAAAUUUUUAUUUAAAUAAAAAGCAUUUUUAGAAAUUAAAGAAAAAAUUUCAAAAAACGUGAAUAAAUUUGGAAGCGUGAACAUUUUUUAAAUCUUGAGAACAAAAUUUUGAAACGGAGAACAAUUUUGAAAAGUCCCAAACAAAUUUGAAAGCGCGAACANAACAUUUUUUCAAAUUUCAGAACAUUUUUUAAAAUUCCAGAAUAUUUUUACAAAUUCCGGAACAUUUUUUCAAAUUUCGGAACAUUUUUCAAAGUCCGGAAUUUUUUUUCAAAUACCAGAACAUUUUUCAAAGUCAAGAAUAUUUUUUUCAAACUCGGAAACAUUUUUUAAAAUUCCAAAACAGUUUCUUUACAUUCUGGAACAUUUUUUCAAAUUCCGAACAUUUUCCAAAGUCUGGAACAUUUUUUCAAAUUCCGAACUUUUUUCAAUUUUCAGAACAUUUUCCAAAGUCUGGAAGAAAUUUUGUAAUCGGAAACAUUUUUUCGAACUGUGAACAAAUAUUGAAACCAUGAACAUUUUUUGAAUUGUGAACAAAGUUGAAAUCUAGAAAAAUAAACAAGUUUUCAAACUGUGAAUAUUUGUUAAAAAACAAACUUGAGAAAAUAAAAGUAUUAAAAAGAAAAAGGAAGAAAGAAAGAAAAAAAGAAAACAAAACAGAAGAAAAAAACUGAAAAAAAGAGAAAAACAAAAACGAACAGAAACCAAAAAAAGGGUUAGGUUCGCAAAACCAGGGAAAACCGCUUGGAACCUUCCAGCAGGGUCCCAAAACCGCAAUCAGUGGAACCCUUAUGGGCCGGCCCGUCCCUUCCUACGCCUGUGCGAUAUCCCGACACUUUGACGCAGAAUGGGUUAAAUAGCAUUUUCCCCCGCGAAGACGUGCAUGUCAGCGAACUUGUCGUAGAUUAUGGGCCGCAUAUAGCAGCUCCCACUACUACUUUACAUCAUCUAUCGAAAGAGUCAAUUCUGAUAAGCCCAACACGGAUGAUGAAAUAAAUGAGGAAGGUCAGUCUCUUCCACGUUAGUUACGGGGUAUCCCCUGCAAAGGUUACCUACAAACCCUUUCAAUAGCACAAGUGGCACAACGUGUGCAUUAAAAUCUGUAGAGAUGGCAAUUCUGUAGGCUCGUUUCAUGAAAAAAAAGGAAAACUAACAUUCAAGAUUCAACAGCCUGUGUUCAUCACUUCCCUUUGGUCCGCCCUGUAUACCAUCUAUUCCACAUGUAACGGGACCAAUAGUGUUUGCUAUUUUAAUCAUCCGAAGAAUUCUACUGAGAUUGUUCAUAGCAGACACCAAACAUAGCAUCAUAUAAGUAUUGCACCAACAAGAACUUUUCAAUUACUAAGACGCUGAAUGCCCGGUUGACUCCGGGUUGUUUAUACUCCAUUACUGAAGAGCGCCAGACAAAACACAGAGAUGGCGGUUUAAAAGCUCAGAAUCGCUGUGGAAACUGUCAACCAUUUGAACAAUGAAAGCUUCAGCUGCCCAUCUCUAACACAACAAUCACAACCAAUAGGCUAAUAUCUUCACAUUGUCAAGAAGCUCAAAUUAGUAAAACCCUGACUGGACAGCUAGAUAACAAAAUCAUCUGUCUUAGUCACGACAUUUGACUUUCCAAAGUCGCCACUUUGAAUUAAGACCGCGUCAGAGCUACGUCCACAUCCAUAGUAAUCCAUAGCCAGCUGUUAGUGGGACUAGUGGUUCACCAGUGACACGUUGAAAUAUCCACAUCCACCCAUUCCAAUUCCAAGCACCCUAUAUAAGCUGGUCAUCUCAGCGUGUAGAAGCACACAAAGCUCAGCUAGCUAAAAUGGCUUCAAAGUCUCUGGCCUUCCUGUGCGUCCUCUUCGCCUUCAUCGUCAUCGUCUCGCAAGGCAUGGUUGCUGCUAGGGAUCUCACGCAUGGUAAUGUUUCUUGUCCUGAAUUAAUCUCUACCUCGUUUUUCUGUUUUUCUGUUCUUUCCGUGGUUAAGUUUGGGUUGGGUGUGCUGCAAAUUCUCCCUGGAGGGAGUAAAUCUACAUGCCAUGGUUAUUUCUAAUGAUGUUAUGUUGCCCUACCAUGGCUGCAGUUAACAGAGCAGGAGGUAACAACUACGGUGGUGGCUGGUCGGGCUCCUACGGAGGACGACGCCCAUGACGGAUGUUCUUCGUGAGAAUCUGGCAAAUAAAUGCAGUUCCGGUUUGCUUUGCAGAUCAUUCAUGUGUAUGGUAAUGUGUGGUAUGUAGUUUCUGUAUACAAGCAAGCUAGGUAGAUAUCUGGAGUGGUUUUCGACUUGCGAGGGAGUGGUAUAUAUGUGUGCUGUGUACUCUGGACGAACUUGAAUCGAAUGUAUCGACCGUUCUGGUGCUUAAGGAUCAUUUUUCGACAGAGGGGCUACAUCGAGCCCGUGCCUUCACUCCAAAUCAUCUGAUUUUGCCGAAACUGUUUCUCGAAAGUGGGACUCGGCUGAAUA
rnacentral:lncRNA from 1 species